rnacentral:rRNA from 1 species
ACGGAAGGCAGCAGUGGGGAAUAUUGCACAAUGGGCGAAAGCCUGAUGCAGCAACGCCGCGUGAAGGAUGAAGGUCUUCGGAUCGUAAACUUCUGUCCUAAGGGAAGAACAAAUGACGGUACCUUUGGAGGAAGCCCCGGCUAACUACGUGCCAGCAGCCGCGGUAAUACGUAGGGGGCAAGCGUUAUCCGGAAUUAUUGGGCGUAAAGAGUGCGUAGGCGGUUUCUUAAGCGCGGGGUGAAAGGCAGUGGCUUAACCAUUGUUAGCCUUGCGAACUGGGAGACUUGAGUGCUGGAGAGGAAAGCGGAAUUCCUAGUGUAGCGGUGAAAUGCGUAGAUAUUAGGAGGAACACCAGUGGCGAAGGCGGCUUUCUGGACAGUAACUGACGCUGAGGCACGAAAGUGUGGGGAGCAAACAGGAUUAGAUACCCUGGUA